ACUGAUGACAUCAGUGCUGACUAUGAGUUUCCGAAAUGUUCAGUAGAGUCAAAGAUUUUGGCAUGAUUUCAUUUCAGCAUUGAAUAUUAGAAUAGGGAAUGGGUACCAGCCUUUUCUCCAGGAGAAACCAUCAUCAAAGUCAACAAUACUCAGUAAGCAGUAAGGGAAUUGAAUUUAUGCAUGAAACUCUCUUGAAAAUUGUGAAUGAUCUCUCUGCUUGGCUGAAGACA
rnacentral:lncRNA from 1 species